AUGAGGAUGAAAUGGAUCGUACAUGUAAAGCAUUUAGACCGGCCCCUGGCCUUCAACAAGCACUGUACAUGAUUGGAGGCUCUAGUUAUUCUUGAGAUGAAACAAUCUCCAAAAUAUACCUACGAACGCAAAGCAAGGUGCAGAAUAGUAAGUACAGUUGUCACCACUUGCAUAAAACAGGAAUGUGUGGGAUAUGCCCAAACGUGUGUGCUGAUUGAUGGAUAAAAGGUCUCUGGAAGGAGACAUGUCUAACUGGACACUAAUAACCUAGUAACUGAGGUUAUACGGGGUUGGAGAAAGAGUCAGGAGACAUGCUUCUUCCUGGAAAGUCAUCCAGCUCAAGUAUGGAGCCAGCAUCACAGAGAGCAGGCCUGGAGAAUGGGAAACGAAGGAGGAGGUGGCUGCAUGUUUUCCAGCAAAACAUUCUUGGGGCUCUGGCUGGCCCAGUGGAGAUGGGGAAUGGAGAAGAAAGAUUCCAAACUAUGUAGGAAAAAUAUUUAUGCCUCAUUCUUUCAUAAAAGACACAAUGACUCAGGACUCAGGU
rnacentral:lncRNA from 1 species